AUUAAUAAUUAAUAUAUUUAAUAAAAAUAAUUUUAAUUUAAUAAAUAUUUUAAUGGGGGUUAAAGUAUUUUUUAAAGAAAAAAUUUUUAAAUUUAUAGUUAAUUAGUAUUGUGAAAGAAUUUUGAAAUAUUAUGAAAAAUAAAAUUUUUAUAAAGUAAUUUUUAUUUAUUGUAUCUUGUGUAUCAGAGUUUAUUAAAAAUUUUUAAUUUAUAAAUUAAUUUCUCGAAUUUAAAAGAGUUAAAUAAUUAUUAAAGUUAUUGUAGCAAAAUUAUUUUAAAUAAUUAUUUAGAAAUGAAAUGUUAAUCGUUUUUAAAUAUAUCUAGUUUUUAUAGAAAAAAAUUUAAUUUUAAAUUUAAAAAUUAUUUAAUUAAUUUAUUAAUUAAAUAAUUAUUUAAAUUUUAUAAUUUAAGGGAUAAGCUUUAAAUUAAAUUUUUAUAAUAUUAAAUUUUUAUUUUGAAAAUUUUAUAAUUUAUAUUGUUAAUAAAUUUUAUUUUGUUAUAAAUAAUUUCAUUUUUUUUAAAAUUUAAAUUUUAUUUAAUUUUUUAUAUAAAAUUUAUUUAUAAUUAUAUAAAGUUAAUUAUAAUGAUAAAAUUAGUAUAUUAUUUAAUAUUAAAUUAAAAUUAAUUUUUGAUUAAUAAUUAAAUUAAUUAAAAGGAAUUCGGCAAAUAUUUAUUUUCACUUGUUUAUCAAAAACAUGUCUUUUUGUUAUUUAAUUUAAAGUCUAAUCUGCCCACUGAUUUAUAAAAAUUGAAGGGCUGCAGUAUAUUGACUGUACAAAGGUAGCAUAAUCAUUAGUCUCUUAAUUGGUGACUUGUAUGAAAGAUUGGAUGAAAAAUAUACUGUCUCUUAAUUAAUAUAUAGAAUUUAAUUUUUUAUUUAAAAAGUUAAAAUAAUUUAAAAAGACGA
rnacentral:rRNA from 1 species